rnacentral:rRNA from 1 species
AACGUAGGAGGCGAGCGUUAUCCGGAUUUACUGGGCGUAAAGCGCGUGCAGGUGGUUUGGUAAGUUGGAUGUGAAAGCUCCUGGCUUAACUGGGAGAGGUCGUUCAAUACUACUAAACUUGAGUGUGGGAGAGGGAGGUGGAAUUCCGGGUGUAGUGGUGAAAUGCGUAGAUAUCCGGAGGAACACCAGUGGCGAAAGCGGCCUCCUGGCCCAUUACUGACACUCAGACGCGAAAGCUAGGGGAGCGAACGGG